rnacentral:rRNA from 1 species
GUCUUGUAAUUGGAAUGAUGGUGAUGUACAACCUCACCAGAGUACCAAUUGGAGGGCAAGUCUGGUGCCAGCAGCCGCGGUAAUUCCAGCUCCAAUAGCGUAUAUUAAACUUGUUGCAGUUAAAAAGCUCGUAGUUGUAUUUCAGCCUCGCGUUUUUUCCCUCCUUUUGGGUCUUUUCGCUGGCUUUUUUUUUACUUUGAGAAAAUUAGAGUGUUUCAAGCAGACUUUUGUCUUGAAUACUUCAGCAUGGAAUAAUAGAGUAGGACCUUGGUUCUAUUUUGUUGGUUUUGAGCCUUGGUAAUGGUUAAUAGGAACGGUUGGGGGCAUUCGUAUUUAACUGUCAGAGGUGAAAUUCUUAGAUUUGUUAAAGACGAACCACUGCGAAAGCAUUUGCCAAGGACGUUUUCAUUAAUCAAGAACGAAAGUUAGGGGAUCGAAGACGAUCAGAUACCGUCGUAGUCCUAACCAUAAACUAUGCCGACUAGGGAUUGGAGGUCGUCAUUUUCCGACUCCUUCAGCACCUUGAGAGAAAUCAAAGUCUUUGG